UACGGAGGGUGAAAGAGUUAAAAGGAAAUACUGGGUUUAAAGGGUGCGUAGGUGGGUAGGUAAGUCAGUGGUGAAAUCUUCAAGCUUAACUUGGAAACUGCCAUUGAUACUAUUUAUCUUGAAUUAUCUGGAGGUAAGCGGAAUAUGUCAUGUAGCGGUGAAAUGCUUAGAUAUGACAUAGAACACCCAUUGCGAAGGCAGCUUACUACGGAUAUAUUGACACUGAGGCACGAAAGCGUGGGGAUCAAACAGG
rnacentral:rRNA from 1 species